AAGAAUUGCAAGUCAGCGAGGAAAAGUUGUACUCUACUAAAGUUUAUUUGCCAUUUGUAAUUCACGAUUAAAUACUACAAGUACAGUUCAGUAGAUUAAUUAUUCUAGUUGAAAUCAAGUACAGUGCAGUAAAUCUAAAAUUAUAGUUCUAAAAACAAGUGCAGUACGAUAAAUUGAAAAAUUCUAAUUAAAAGCAGUUAAAUCCUACAGCUAUUAGUACGGCUGAUUGAAAUUGGUACUACAUAGCUGCUAUCCUUUCAUCUACGGUAUCGUAAAAACUAAAUUAAUCAUACAACACACAAUAAGAGCAUUACCACCACCAACUGAACUACUGUAAAAGACAUAAAAGGGACACUAAACGUAAGUUUUCUUAAAUCUAUUAACUAAAAAUAUGCAAACGUUAUAUCGAACCACUAACUAAAA